UGCAACUAAAAUUCCUCUGGCGCGAUGCUCGACUUCGCGAUCCGCUAUGCGUUGGCCAUCGCACUGGUCUUCUCCUGCAUAGCUCUCGGAUGGUUCGUGGCGUGGAAGCUGCUGCUCGUUCACAUUCCUCUUGUCCAAGAGAUUUGCGGCUUGCGGAAGAAACCUAAGAAGCCCGUUCUCAGGGCCAGCGCUCCAUUCCCGGACAGGGUGAAAUCGCAGUGAUUCUUAGGGUUUAUCAGAGCAGGGUUUCCAGGGAGCAGCGGCAGCGGCAAUGUUCUCGUCCACGGCGUCUUCGAUCUCCAAAAUGUCCGCUCUCGUCAGCGGCGUCGGCACGGAUGCUGCGAUCUACGACGAUCCCCAGGACGCGGACAUUCCCACGCUGCUCGACAGUCGCUACGACGCGGACAAAGCCCAGGGAUUGAAGCGCCUCAUCGCGCUCAUGGCACAGGGACAGGACGUUUCCACAUUCUUCCCACAGGUUGUCAAGGGCGUUGCUUCACAGUCUCUGGAAGUGAAGAAGCUCGUUUACAUCUACCUCGUCCACUACGCUGAUAAACGACCAGACGAGGCGUUGCUUUCUAUCAACAGUUUCCAAAGAGAUCUAUCCGAUAUCAAUCCCCUGGUUCGUGCUUGGGCCUUGCGAGCGAUGUCCGGGAUCAAGGUCCGCGCAGUUGGCCCUCUCGUUAUCAUGGCUGCAAACAAGUGCGCCAGAGAUCCUUCUCCUUACGUUCGGAGGUGUGCUGCGAAUGCGGUUUCCAAGAUUCAUUCCAUGGGUGACGAACAACAUUUCGACGAGCUUGUACAGCUUGUGUCCAUCUUGCUGAACGACAAUUAUCCGGGCGUAGCUGGAGCCGCAGCGCAGGCUUUUAUCUCUGUUUGCCCGGAGCGUUAUUCCUUAUUGAGCUCCAGCUUCAGGAAGCUGUGUGGACUACUUUACGAGGCUGAUGAAUGGGGACAGAUUUCUCUUAUGGACAUCCUGAUGCGGUAUAUCGUGGCAAAGUAUGGCGUUGUUAGAGAUUUCAGCUCCGCGAACGUAGAAUUCUCAUGUUUACAGCAAGCACACGAAGAAAAUGGUGGCGACUUUUACAAAGCUGACACGACGUUUCCGGAUGAGAGGUGGGAAGUGAGGCUCAUGCUAUCGUCUACGCUUUCUCUGCUACGGAGCCAAAAUAGUGCGGUCGUAUUACAGGCGGCAGUCAUCCAUUGGUAUUUUUCUCCGGGCAAUGAACUCAGCAACAUUGUCAAGCCAUUACUGUUUUUACUUCGUUCGUCGCUUGAUGCACGGCAUGUGGUGCUUGCAAAUAUACUUUCUUUCUCGAAGUGUGAGCCAAGUUUGUUCGAGGCAUAUUUUGAAGAUUUUUUCAUAUGUUCUUCUGACUCUCAAGCUAUUCAAGCUCUGAAGCUGGACAUACUAACAAACAUUGUGUCAGAUUUGUCCGCCACGCAAAUUCUUCAAGAAUUGGAGGCCUAUAUACGAAACCCAAACUCUCAGCUGGCAGCAGACGCAGUAAACUCGAUUGGCCGGUGUGCGCUUCGACUGUCUUCCACAGUGGCUAUAUGCACCAAGGGUCUUCUCAAGCUAGUCGUUUCUCGGUCUUCCCGUGACGACGAUUCGCUCCACAAUGCAAAUGAGGCUGAACCAAAGGUUGGAGACUCUGGCCGCGAACAAUAUAGUCCGGGGAGGGGAAGAGUGGUGGUUCAAGCGGUUUCGUCGCUAAGAGCUAUUAUGCAGAAGCACCCAGCAGAGCAGGACCAGGUAAUCCUUCAUCUUUUACGCAACUUAAACCACAUUUUAGAACCAACUGCACGUGAAGUCGUCAUUUGGAUGAUUGGUGAACAAGCAAUUGCUCGUCCUGCACUUGCUGAAGGAAUCCCUGUGGCCCUGCGGUAUCUAGCCAAAACGUUUGCAAAUGAGUCUAAUGGAACUAAGCUUCAAGUUUUGAACUGCCUUGCGAAGAUCAUUUCAUCUUCUCAACGGUGCUCGUCUUUGAAGACUGUCCUGUUAAUUCUUCAGUAUAUUCUGGAUCUUGCCGCCUGUGAUUUAAACUAUGACGUACGAGAUCGAGCCUGGAUUUUACGAGUUCUCUUGGCUGGCCAUUUAGACGCUAUCAAGCACCAUUCGUCAUAUGACGCAGAUCCACGUCUUCCGGAGAUUAUCGACGCUAUUUUACUCAACAUUGAUCAGUCAAAACUUGAUCCAGGUGUACUAUCCAAAGCUGCCAACUCCAUGUUUCUUCGCCAGAAGUCGGUACCAGUAUUACCUUCGUUGAGUUUACAGCCGUCCACAUUCCUACCAGGAUCGAUGUCUCAUAUGGUUCAACACAUGUCUCCUGGAUACAGACCUCUUCCACGCGAAAGAUACACGGAUUUGAGUCCUUCCAGCCCAACUUUACCCGAAAGACAACCCGAACUUCAAAGCCAGAGUGAAUCUACGGACUCGGGUAGUGAAAGCUUUGAGUCUGAGGAUGACGGGAACUAUACAGAUGACGUUCUUGCUGUUAUAAGUGAUGCCGACGGGAACACAGCGAAGGAGAAAGCAGAUUUAAUUUCGCUGUCUGACACGGAACUGCUGAAGAAAGACGCUUCGCCUGAGGAUCUGUCCCCGUCUGUGGAUCUUGAGUCGUGGCUUGGACCUGAAGAACCUUCCAAUUCGCCAGAGGACUUCGAUAAAAGCUCCAACUCUGAAGUGAAAAAGGUGCUGGCUCUUGACUUCACAAACGGAGACGGACUGGAAGUUCACUACGGCUUUAUGAGAGGUCCUUCCAUAUUUUCGUCCAGCAUGGUGUGUGUGAGGCUCUUCCUUCACAACAAAUCGUCGGAACCAAUGCAUGGGAUAGAAAUCAACGAUGGAGAAACUGCAGGACGCCAGACUGCUUUCGAGAGUGGCACAGCGAGAAUCAUACCACCGGAAGCAGUUGCUCUCGAGCCAGGGGAGAAAACGGAACUCAAUGCGCAUGUUGAUUUUCGGCACAACCUAAGUAUCGUCAAGGUGUGGCUGCACUGCAACUCAAACAAGUUCCCUAUCAAGAUAUCGCCAGAACCAGGCGUUCUUUUGCGUCCUCGGAAGAUGAGUAUAAGCGUGUUUUUGGCUGCUGAAGCCCGAAUUGCUGGGAUGCACAGGUCUUCUCGGAGAAUUUAUCUUCACGGAAUUUCUCCUGGACAGUGUUGCAAAAGAAUAGUCGCAGCUGCCAGGGUCUCAUUCAUAGGCUCGCGAGACGCCGAAGACGUGGUUCUUCUUUUUGGCGCGGAAACUCUCACAGGGUCACUCUUAUGUCUAAUCUCCGUGGCCUUGGAACCGGAUGCUGUGCAUGGCACGCUUACGAUCUGCUGCGAGGACACUUUAUUUGGCCUUGCGUUGCUGAAUCAUCUUGACAAAGCCUUGACAUCUCUUGAAAGCACCGAUUCUUAACCAUGUGUGCUCAUGCGCAUCUUGGCACGCGGCUAUAUUUUUUUCGUCUACGGGAGACAUGCCAUGUUGCUGGUCGUGCUCAACAGUUACAUAUUUUUUCGUCUUAUCUGGGAAGCGGCCCAACUUAAUAUGGUGUCGCCGGCUAUAAACACGCGAAUUUUCGGUGUUUACAGAUGGUGGCGGCUAGUGCCAUGGUAACUACACUUCAGUGCGUGGGGCCUUGACGUCUACAUUUUAGAGGCCAUUUUAGAAACGGCUCCAAACGCUUGCGUCUGCCGCGUGUUCAUGUUCAUUCAAGCCAAGAAAAUCCUUGAGCCGCGCAUCAUCGCCGCCUUCGAGCUCAACGAGGAAUGACGCUACCUCUUCCCGGUUGCUACCAGUAUG